rnacentral:tRNA from 1 species
UUAAUUGAAACCAAAGCAUGAGGUAUAUUAUUGUUAAUAAUAUCAUAGAUUUUAUAAUCCAAUUAAA